UGGCCGCGCAAGUCCAUCGGGAAAUCCACCUGCUCAACAGGUGGGCGCCCGGUAGAAACUGCGUGGCUUGGGACCGGAAGGCGCGACGGGUACGUCCGGGGUAGGAGUGAAAUCCCGUAAUCCUGGACGGACCGCCGAUGGCGAAAGCACGUCGCGAGAACGGAUCCGACAGUGAGGGACGAAAGCCAGGGUCUCGAACCGGAUUAGAUACCCGGGUAGUCCUGGCCGUAAACAAUGCCUGCUAGGUGUGGCUCCCACUACGAGUGGGUGCUGUGCCGUAGGGAAGCCGCUAAGCAGGCCGCCUGGGAA
rnacentral:rRNA from 1 species